rnacentral:rRNA from 1 species
CCUACGGGAGGCAGCAGUGAGGAAUAUUGGUCAAUGGGCGCGAGCCUGAACCAGCCAAGUCGCGUGAGGGAAGACGGCCCUACGGGUUGUAAACCUCUUUUGCCGGGGAGCAACGGGCGCCACGUGUGGCGCCACUGAGAGUACCCGGAGAAAAAGCAUCGGCUAACUCCGUGCCAGCAGCCGCGGUAAUACGUAUGGAGCAAGCGUUAUCCGGAAUUACUGGGUGUAAAGGGAGCGUAGACGGAUGUGCAAGUCUGAUGUGAAAGGCGGGGGCUCAACCCCUGGACUGCAUUGGAAACUGUAAAUCUUGAGUGCCGGAGAGGUAAGCGGAAUGCCUAGUGUAGCGGUGAAAUGCGUAGAUAUUAGGAGGAACACCAGUGGCGAAGGCGGCUUACUGGACGGUAACUGACGUUGAGGCUCGAAAGCGUGGGGAGCAAACAGGAUUAGAUACCCCUGUAGUC